UGCACAUUGGUGUGUGUGUGAGGAAAGCA
rnacentral:piRNA from 1 species